ACCCGCACAAGCAGCGGAGCGUGUGGUUUAAUUCGUUGCUACACGAGAACCUUACCUGGGUUUGACAUAUAGGUUGUAGGGAACUGAAAGGGACCGACCCUUCGGGAGCCUAUACAGGUGUUGCAUGGCUGUCGUCAGCUCGUGUCGUGAGAUGUUCGGUUAAGUCCGCUAACGAGCGCAACCCUCGUCGUAUGUUAUAUGUGUCAUACGAGACUGCCGGUAAAAAGCCGGAGGAAGGUGAGGAUGAUGUCAAGUCAGCAUGACCUUUAUAUCCAGGGCUACACACACGCUACAAUGGUCUGUACAAUGGGUAGCCAAGCCGCGAGGCGGAGCCAAUCCUGAAAGCAGGCCUCAGUUCAGAUUGCAGUCUGCAACUCGACUGCAUGAAGCCGGAGUUGCUAGUAACCGCAGGUCAGCAAUACUGCGGUGAAUACGUUCCCGGGUCUU
rnacentral:rRNA from 1 species